UUGAUUUAUUAAGUGUACAUUAUUAUGAUUGAAUUGAUCUUUGAUUAUAUGAAUCUGUUUUAAUUCUUGAGAUAGUUUUAGAGGGUAAUAAAUCAUAAGGGCAGCUUUCUUGCAUCCUCCAUAUGCCAAACAAUUGUUGCCAAGGAUUCAUAUACAAAGAGAACAUUGAUGAGUGAAUUGCACAUUCUUUCUCUAAUUCUGAAUCAAUAAAGGUCAUUAAGCACGUAAAUCGAGGGUUAACCUAUUGACCAGAAACUAUUUAAUAGCAUAAGUUUCUUUGUACUCAUACGAGACAAUAUUAAAGAAGACAAUAAGCUACCGUAAGAUUCCGUUCUUGAAUUCAUCACAUUUUAACCUAUGUAUGUUCUCUCAUAUGUUCCAAGAUCUUAUAGUUACCAGAAGCUGCAUAAAUGCAAAAUUUACCAUUUGCAACCUUCUACUUUUUUGUUUGGCGAUUUAGCUUCUCUACAACUUCUGCACCUUUUACUCUUUAGUAAAUAUUUUGAGUCUUCCCUUAUCCGUCAUCUAUUCUAUUUUUGUUUCCUUUUUUUCGAUGCCUAAGGAUGAUACAACCAAACCCUGCAAGUUGACUUCUUUCUUGGGUUAUAAGAUUGGAAUGAAUCACAUUGCGAGAGGACUUGAAAAAUUUGUAUCAAGUAAAAUCACUCUUUCAUCUAUAGCAUUUCAGUUCGGUAUUCAUAUUUUAAACAUACAUAUAAUCAUUUAGACUCUGACUUCAGCAAAUUGUUCGAAAAAUUAUCUAACUUAUACAAAAGAAGGCUAAAGGAGGAUGGGAGUCGAGGAUUCACCGGAGAAGCUUAAAGAAAAAGAACAAUAAAAUGAGUAAAAUAGGGAGACACGAUCUUCAUUCAAAAAGAUAAUAAAGAUAGGCAACACUCUUUGCUUGGAGUAUGAAGUUUUGCAAGAUUCUUAUUCAUAAUUUCUCAAAAAUAUGUAUUUUUCAACGGAUUAUUUGCUUGCGUCCUUGAAAUCUUUUCUUCUUUCUAACUUUCAUUUGUAUUGAAAAUAGGUGCAACUUGAAUCAAUUUUUUCGGUCUCUGUGAGUAGGAAAAUGGGAGUAUUACAUGGUGUUCGCAUGUAACAUCACAGACACUCAUCAAAUUUUAAAGGUUACGUGUGAAUAGUGUAAAAUUAGCUGACGAGCUAUAACAAGACAUGUUGAAAUGGUUUGGAAAGCAUUUCAAGUACAAAUUGAGCCAUUUCACUUUGUCUCCGCGAGUAUGAAAAUGAGAGUAUUCACAUGGUGUCCACUUUGUGACUUCACAAAGCUCAUCAAAUUUACUUUUCGGAAUUGGUAAAGAGAGAGGUACAUUCUAAUGGAUGUAAAAUUAGUUGGCGAGCCUAACCAAGAGUCCAAGACAUGUUGGAAUGGUUCAUAAAGCAUUUUAAGAAUAGUUCGAUGGAAGAUCAAAGUUAGCUGGAAUCAGGGCCAUUGAGUUCUGUGAAAUUAAGACCUCAGGGAACAUUUGUUGGUGUCUAUGAUGGACAUGGAGGACCUGAGACUUUGUGGUUUAUAAACAAUGUCAUGUUCUACAAUCUCAAGAGUACGUAUGUGUUGUGUUGUCAUACAUGCAUGUUGAACUGAAAGUGUAGGCAAUUUUCUAUCUCAAUAUAUGAAGUACUUCCAUGUUGCAUCGAUGUGGCGCUACAUCUGCGAAAACAAUUCUCAUUUUUUGAGAUCAAAUCUGAAAUAAAUGAUUGUUAGAUUUUACUUGAAUCAUUGUUCGCAUAAGAAUGAGUUAGAUUUUUCUCAUGGCGUAUAACCAGAUGAAGAGUGAGGUUGGCUUAUGGAAGUUAUCAAUAUCGCAAAGUUGAACUCUCCGAACUAUGGAUAAGAUAGGUUGUAAUAGGCAACUCAAUUACAAUUCUCUUACAACUUCUUUUUACAUAAAGAAAUUCUUUGUUUCAUUCAAUUAUGUAAACAAGCACAAGAAUUGUUUUGCUAAUGCUAACUUUAACCAAGAAGGUUGGCAUCGUGUUUAGUUUGCUUGUACUAUUGUAA